rnacentral:rRNA from 1 species
GACGAACGCUGGCGGCGUGGAUUAGGCAUGCAAGUCGAACGGUAUCAUCCUUUCGGGGGUGAGAGAGUGGCGAACUGGUGAGUAACACGUAGGUUAUCUACCCUCAAGACGGGGACAACCCAGGGAAACUUGGGCUAAUACCGGAUGUGAGCAACUUUUAGUUGUUUGAAAGGUGGCGUAAGCUGUCGCUUGGGGAUGAGCCUGCGUCCUAUUAGUUAGUUGGUGAGGUAACGGCUCACCUAGGCAAUGAUAGGUAGGCGGCCUUAACGGGUGGUCGCCCACACUGGGAUUGAGAUACGGCCCAGACUCCUACGGGAGGCAGCAGUCGAGAAUAGUCUACAAUGGUCGGAAGACUGAUAGUGCGACGCCGCGUGAACGAUGAAUCCCUUCGGGGUGUAAAAGUUCUUUUAUAUGUGAGCAGUGCUUCUUAUAUUAACAGUAUGGGGAGAGAGAUAUUAAGCAUAUGAAUAAGCAAGCGAACUACUCGCAGCACGCGGAAACGUAA